ensembl:lncRNA
ACAUAGAAUUUUGACUAGCAUUCACCAAGGAUGAACUGAAAGCAGGAUCUGUCUCACCAUACACUGAGAACUGUAGAAUAUGCAAGGCACAUGGAACUUAUUUUCUUACGUAUAAAAGCGUGUAUAUGCUCCUUAUACAUCUGUCCUAAUGCUUUCCAACAGUCCUCACUCUAAGCCUCACCAAGACCCAGAUGAGGAAACAAAGGCACAGAGGGAUAAACUCAGAGCAGGAAGACAGCAAGGAAUAGCAGUGAAAAGCAUGGUGCUUAAUCCAACCCCUUACUCACUGCUGAGACCUGGAAAUGUGUUCAUCAGCUACAAAACAGGAGAGAUGAUAACUCAUUAUGUAUAUGUGAUGAUAAACAGAGACAAUAUAUUGAAGAGCUUAUAUGAGUGGCAGACACGGGACAUGCUUCCCUGUGGCUGGCCAGCGUGUCAUCUUCUCCAUGUGUCCAGAGAAAAGCUUUGCAAAUCAACCUCUCGAUGAAUGAUGACGGCACCAGUGAAAUCAGGGGAGGCAGAAAAUCAUGAACAUUGAGCAGUGCUCGUGCUGGGUGGAUUGUGAUGUGGAAACCCUGGGAGAUGUCACGUCUGACAUCAACUUUCUCCCAGGUGACAGCUGCACCCUCUAAAGGCUUCUCAAAUGACAGAGCUCAAUGAAUAUAGAAGGGAAAAGUAUGAGGAUGACCUAUGAGCACAGGGUGGACAGUCUCUGCGGUGGGCAGGCAUUAGCAAAGGAGAGACCUUCUGUAUUAUGCAGGUAUGUGCAAGAACCAAAGAAAAUAACUGUCAUGAGAAUUCUGACCUCAUUAAUACCCACAGACUAGAGACACCAGGAAUCUAAGCUUGCAAAAGCAUAAGGGAACAUAAGGGUUGUGUUCUCUUGCCCUUGGGGCACAGCUUUUCACCACAUUUUGUACUAAUUUAACCAUGAUGCAGAUCGAAGAGCCCCAGUGAUUUCCCAAUAAAAUGCUCCAGUUGUAUAA